rnacentral:rRNA from 1 species
UACGGGGGGGGCAAGCGUUGUUCGGAAUUACUGGGCGUAAAGGGCGCGUAGGUGGCUCGCUAAGUCGGGUGUGAAAACUCUGGGCUCAACCCAGAGCCUGCAUUCGAAACUGACGAGCUAGAGUUCUGGAGGGGAAAGCGGAAUUCCUGGUGUAGCGGUGAAAUGCGUAGAUAUCAGGAGGAACACCGGUGGCGAAGGCGGUUUUCUGGACAGAAACUGACGCUGAUGCGCGAAAGCUAGGGGAGCAAACAGG